rnacentral:rRNA from 1 species
AUUGAACGCUGGCGGCAUGCCUUACACAUGCAAGUCGAACGGUAACAGGUCUUCGGAUGCUGACGAGUGGCGAACGGGUGAGUAAUACAUCGGAACGUGCCUAGUAGUGGGGGAUAACUACUCGAAAGAGUGGCUAAUACCGCAUGAGAUCUACGGAUGAAAGCAGGGGAUCGCAAGACCUUGUGCUACUAGAGCGGCCGAUGGAAGAUUAGGUAGUUGGUGGGAUAAAAGCUUACCAAGCCGACAAUCUGUAGCUGGUCUGAGAGGACGAUCAGCCACACUGGGACUGAGACACGGCCCAGACUCCUACGGGAGGCAGCAGGGGGGAAUUUUGGACAAUGGGCGAAAGCCUGAUCCAGCAAUGCCGCGUGCAGGAUGAAGGCCUUCGGGUUGUAAACUGCUUUUGUACGGAACGAAAAGCCCCGGGUUAAUACCCUGGGGUCAUGACGGUACCGUAAGAAUAAGCACCGGCUAACUACGUGCCAGCAGCCGCAGUAA